rnacentral:rRNA from 1 species
CUACGGGAUGCAGCAGUAAGGAAUAUUGCGCAAUGGAGGCAACUCUGACGCAGCCAUGCCGCGUGCAGGAAGAAGGCCUUAUGGGUCGUAAACUGCUUUUAUUUAGGAAUAAACCCCCGAACGUGUUCGGGGCUGAAGGUACUAAACGAAUAAGCACCGGCUAACUCCGUGCCAGCAGCCGCGGUAAUACGGAGGGUGCAAGCGUUAUCCGGAUUUAUUGGGUUUAAAGGGUGCGCAGGCGGGCCAUUAAGUCAGUGGUGAAAUCCCGGGGCUCAACUCCGGAACUGCCAUUGAUACUGAUAGUCUUGAGUUUGGUUGAAGUGGGCGGAAUGUAGCAUGUAGCGGUGAAAUGCAUAGAUAUGCUACAGAACACCAAUCGCGAAGGCAGCUCACUAAGCCAAAACUGACGCUCAUGCACGAAAGCGUGGGGAUCAAACAGGAUUAGAUACCCGCGUAGUC